CACCGGCUAACUCCGUGCCAGCAGCCGCGGUAAUACGGAGGGUGCGAGCGUUAAUCGGAAUUACUGGGCGUAAAGGGUGCGUAGGUGGUUGAUUAAGUUAUCUGUGAAAUUCCUGGGCUUAACCUGGGACGGUCAGAUAAUACUGGUUGACUCGAGUAUGGGAGAGGGUAGUGGAAUUUCCGGUGUAGCGGUGAAAUGCGUAGAGAUCGGAAGGAACACCAGUGGCGAAGGCGGCUACCUGGCCUAAUACUGACACUGAGGCACGAAAGCGUGGGGAGCAAACAGGAUUAGAUACCCUGGUAGUCCACGCUGUAAA
rnacentral:rRNA from 1 species